UACGUAGGUGGCAAGCGUUGUCCGGAUUUACUGGGCGUAAAGAGCGCGCAGGCGGUCGUUCAAGUCGCGUGUGAAAGCCCCCGGCUCAACUGGGGAGGGUCACGCGAUACUGAUCGACUCGAAGGCAGGAGAGGGAAGUGGAAUUCCCGGUGUAGUGGUGAAAUGCGUUGAUAUCAUCAGGAACACCGGUGGCGAAAGCGGCUUACUGGGUCUCUUCUGACGCUGAGGAACGAAAGCUAGGGUAGCGAACGGG
rnacentral:rRNA from 1 species